rnacentral:misc_RNA from 1 species
UUUCCGUAGGUGAACCUGCGGAAGGAUCAUUACUGAGUGAGGGCCCCUCGGGGUCCAACCUCCCACCCGUGUUUAACGAACCUUGUUGCUUCGGCGGGCCCGCCUCACGGCCGCCGGGGGGCAUCUGCCCCCGGGCCCGCGCCCGCCGAAGCCACCUGUGAACGCUGUCUGAAGUAUGCAGUCUGAGACAAUUAUUAAAUUAAUUAGAACUUUCAACAACGGAUCUCUUGGCUCCG